rnacentral:rRNA from 1 species
UACGUAGGGGGCUAGCGUUGUCCGGAUUUAUUGGGCGUAAAGAGCGUGUAGGCGGCCAGGUAGGUCUGCUGUGAAAACUCGAGGCUCAACCUCGAGACGUCGGCGGAAACCAUCUGGCUAGAGUCCGGAAGAGGAGAGUGGAAUUCCUGGUGUAGCGGUGAAAUGCGCAGAUAUCAGGAAGAACACCCGUGGCGAAGGCGGCUCUCUGGGCCGUAACUGACGCUGAGGAGCGAAAGCAUGGGGAGCGAACAGG